GACGAACGCUGGCGGCAUGCCUAACACAUGCAAGUCGAGCGAGCUGAUUCCUUCGGGAUGAAGCUAGCGGCGGACGGGUGAGUAACACGUGGGCAACCUGCCUCAUAGAGGGGAAUAGCCUUCCGAAAGGAAGAUUAAUACCGCAUAAGAUUGUAGCUUCGCAUGAAGCAGCAAUUAAAGGAGCAAUCCGCUAUGAGAUGGGCCCGCGGCGCAUUAGCUAGUUGGUGAGGUAACGGCUCACCAAGGCGACGAUGCGUAGCCGACCUGAGAGGGUGAUCGGCCACAUUGGGACUGAGACACGGCCCAGACUCCUACGGGAGGCAGCAGUGGGAAAUAUUGCACAAUGGGGGAAACCCUGAUGCAGCAAUGCCGCGUGAGUGAUGACGGCCUUCGGGUUGUAAAGCUCUGUCUUCGGGGACGAUAAUGACGGUACCCGAGGAGGAAGCCACGGCUAACUACGUGCCAGCCGCCGCGGUAA
rnacentral:rRNA from 1 species